GACGAACGCUGGCGGCGUGCUUAACACAUGCAAGUCGAACGGAAAGGCCUCUUUCGGGGGGUACUCGAGUGGCGAACGGGUGAGUAACACGUGAGUAACCUGCCCUUGACUUUGGGAUAACUUCAGGAAACUGGGGCUAAUACCGGAUAGGAGCUCCUGCUGCAUGGUGGGGGUUGGAAAGUUUCGGCGGUUGGGGAUGGACUCGCGGCUUAUCAGCUUGUUGGUGGGGUAGUGGCUUACCAAGGCUUUGACGGGUAGCCGGCCUGAGAGGGUGACCGGCCACAGUGGGACUGAGAUACGGCCCAGGCUCCGACGGGAGGCAGCAGUGGGGAAUAUUGCACAAUGGGUGGAAGCCUGAUGCAGCAACGCCGGGUGCGGGAUGACGGCCUUCGGGUUGUAAACCGCUUUCGCUCAUGACGAAGCUUUGUGUGACGGUAGUGGGUAAAGAAGCACCGGCUAACUACGUG
rnacentral:rRNA from 1 species